UACGUAGGGUGCGAGCGUUGUCCGGAUUUAUUGGGCGUAAAGGGCUCGUAGGCGGCCUGUCGCGUCGGGAGUGAAAGCCCACUGCUUAACGGUGGGUCUGCUUCCGGUACGGGCGGGCUGGAGUAUGGCAGGGGAGACUGGAAUUCCUGGUGUAGCGGUGGAAUGCGCAGAUAUCAGGAGGAACACCGAUGGCGAAGGCAGGUCUCUGGGCCACUACUGACGCUGAGAAGCGAAAGCAUGGGGAGCGAACAGG
rnacentral:rRNA from 1 species